AUUGAACGCUGGCGGCAGGCCUAACACAUGCAAGUCGAACGGUAACAGGAAGCAGCUUGCUGCUUCGCUGACGAGUGGCGGACGGGUGAGUAAUGUCUGGGAAGCUGCCUGAUGGGGGGGGAUAACUACUGGAAACGGUAGCUAAUACCGCAUAAUGUCGCAAGACCAAAGAGGGGGACCUUCGGGCCUCUUGCCAUCGGAUGUGCCCAGAUGGGAUUAGCUUGUUGGUGGGGUAACGGCUCACCAAGGCGACGAUCCCUAGCUGGUCUGAGAGGAUGACCAGCCCCCCUGGGCCUGGGCACCGGCCCAGCCCCCUACGGGGGGCAGCGGGGGGGAAUAUUGCCCAAUGGGGGCAAGCCUGAUGCAGCCAGGCCGCGUGUAUGAAGAAGGCCUUCGGGUUGUAAAGUACUUUCAGCGGGGAGGAAGGGAGUAAAGUUAAUACCUUUGCUCUUUGACUUUCCCCGCAGAAGAAGCCCCGGCUACCUCCGG
rnacentral:rRNA from 1 species